AGACGAGGGCAGAGGAAAGGCAGCCUGGGGGAACCAGGAAGUGGUCCAGAGGGAGGUGCCCACAUUCACCAUUGAGUGCCCAGCAGUGCCUCCAACCCAGGCAUAGGGAGUGCAGAACACCAGGGACCCUGGAACGCCCAUCAGCGAGACUCUAGCCCCAUCCAUGGCCAUGACUAAUGUGCUGCUGCCCCAGGCCAAGGAGGAGGGGCAAAAUUUAAUGCCAACGCCUGUGUUUUCUGAGGAUCUCAGGAUGGGGGCCAUCUUCUCUUCACAACAAUCUCUUCUCUGAAGUUCAUAGAUGGUGAAAUAAAUACACAAAGCCAAUGUCCAAGAAAGGAUUUUUCCACAACAGUGGGUCUUCUCACAAGAUCAUUGACGACGGGACAUAUUGUUACCCCACAAGCACAUUCUCUGAAACCCACCAGGGGCAAACGGAAUGCAUGCCGGGUAGGCAGUGAUAUAUUGUAAAAGAAGCCAGAAGCCUGAGUUGGACUGAAAGCCUCAGUGAGCACAGGCCUGCAUUGCAAAUACAUUUUAAUACAGGAUUGGAACUCAGCUAUAAAUUUGGAGGACAGUGACGAAUUUCAACUUCCAACCACUGGCAGUCCAUACAUACCCUACCCUCCUGCCCAGCCCAUCGUUUGGAGAGGCUUGGAUUAAAGUGGCCAGGGGCCUAUUCUUGUGUUCA